GUAGGGUGCAGGCGUUAAUCGGAAUUACUGAGCGUAAAGCGUGCGCAGGCGGCUCCUUAAGUCAGAUGUGAAAUCCCCGGGCUUAACCUGGGAACUGCGUUUGAAACUGAGGAGCUCGAGUGUGGAAGAGGGGGGUGGAAUUCCAGGUGUAGCAGUGAAAUGCGUAGAGAUCUGGAGGAACACCGAUGGCGAAGGCAGCCCCCUGGGCUAACACUGACGCUCAUGCACGAAAGCGUGGGGAGCAAACAGGAUUAGAUACCCUGGUAGUCCACGCCCUAAACGAUGUCAACUGGUUGUCGGGGAAGCAAUUCCUUGGUAACGAAGCUAACGCGCGAAGUUGACCGCCUGGGGAGUACGGCCGCAAGGUUA
rnacentral:rRNA from 1 species